rnacentral:rRNA from 1 species
UACGUAGGUGGCAAGCGUUGUCCGGAUUUACUGGGCGUAAAGGGCGUGCAGGCGGUCUGUUAAGUCUAGGGUGAAAGCUCCCGGCUCAACUGGGAGAGGUCCUUGGAUACUGGCGGACUUGAGGGAGGCAGAGGAAAGUGGAAUUCCCGGUGUAGUGGUGAUAUGCGUAGAUAUCGGGAGGAAAACCAGUGGCGAAGGCGGCUUUCUGGUCCGGUACUGACGCUGAGGUGCGAAAGCGUGGGGAGCAAACAGG